rnacentral:rRNA from 1 species
CAGUCGCCGCGGUAAUACAGAGGGUGCGAGCGUUAAUCGGAUUUACUGGGCGUAAAGCGUGCGUAGGCGGCUUUUUAAGUCGGAUGUGAAAUCCCUGAGCUUAACUUAGGAAUUGCAUUCGAUACUGGGAAGCUAGAGUAUGGGAGAGGAUGGUAGAAUUCCAGGUGUAGCGGUGAAAUGCGUAGAGAUCUGGAGGAAUACCGAUGGCGAAGGCAGCCAUCUGGCCUAAUACUGACGCUGAGGUACGAAAGCAUGGGAGCAAACAGGAUUAGAUACCCCAGUAGUCCCUGUCUCUUAUACC